rnacentral:rRNA from 1 species
UACGUAGGUGGCAAGCGUUGUCCGGAUUCACUGGGUGUAAAGGGUGCGCAGGCGGAUUUGUAAGUCAGAGGUGAAAUCUCACGGCUUAACCGUGAAACUGCCUUUGAUACUGCAGAUCUUGAGUUUGGGAGAGGUUGAUGGAAUUCCAGGUGUAGCGGUGAAAUGCGUAGAUAUCUGGAAGAACACCAGUGGCGAAGGCGGUCAACUGGCCCAUAACUGACGCUCAUGCACGAAAGCGUGGGGAGCAAACAGG